AAGUCGUAACAAGGUUUCCGUAGGUGAACCUGCGGAAGGAUCAUUAACACGUAUCCAAACGUAAAAAACCCCCCCCGUGAACAUUCAAUCCUGCUCUUGUAACCCGCGUAGUUCGCAAUCUCUGGUAAAUCAUAGCCCGGAAAGUAGUUUUGAUUCAGAGACCUCUGGCUACGUGAGAACAUUGGAACAGUUACAAUCGAGCGGUAGUUUCAUAGGCAUUGUUUCCCCAAGCAGUCAGUGUCUGAAAGUGUCACUGAUUGUGCAAGGAUAGCGCUUCAACGAUUCCUGUAGACCGUUAACCCCACAGUUUAAUGUGAAGCUCAAUGUAAUACAUUGGGUAAAAAAACCGAACAACUGUUAACAAUGGAUAUCUUGGUUCUC
rnacentral:misc_RNA from 1 species